GCCAACCUAUCUACCGCGGCGAAUCUAUCUAUCGCUGCCAAUUUAUCUACCACUGUCAAUCUAUCUAUUGCUGCUAAUCUAUCGCUGCUGUCAAUCUAUCUAUCGCUGCUAAUCUAUCUAUCGCUGCUAAUCUAUCGCCGCUGCCAAUCUAUCCCUCACUGCUAAGCUAUCCCUCGCUGCUAAGCUAUCACUGCCAAUCUAUCGCUGCUAAUCUAUCGCUGCCAACCUAUCUACCGCGGCGAAUCUAUCUAUCGCUGCCAAUUUAUCUACCACUGUCAAUCUAUCUAUUGCUGCCAAUCUAUUGCUGCUAAUCUAUUGCUGCUAAUCUAUCGCUGCUGCCAAUCUAUCUAUCGCUGCUAAUCUAUUGCUGCUGCCAAUCUAUCCCUCGCUGCUAAGCUAUCCUUCGCUGCUAAGCUAUCCCUCACUGCUAAGCUAUCUCUCACUGCUAAGCUAUCCCUCGCUGCUAAGCUAUCCCUCGCUGCUAAGCUAUCCCUCACUACUAAGCUAUCUAUCACUGCUAAUCUAUCGCUGCCAAUCUAUCUAUCACUGCCAAUCUAUCUAUCGCUGCUAAUCUAUCGCUGCUAAUCUAUCACUGCUAAUCUAUCGCUGCCAACCUAUCUAUCGCUGCCAAUUUAUCUACCACUGCCAAUCUAUCUAUUGCUGCUAAUCUAUUGCUGCUGCCAAUCUAUCUAUUGUUGCUAAUCUAUUGCUGCUGCUAAUCUAUCUAUCGCUGCUAAUCUAUCGCUGCUAAUCUAUUGCUGCCAACCUAUCUACCGCGGCGAAUCUAUCUAUCACUAUCAUUACUAGUUCAAAAUAGAACUAGAGCAUAAAUACACUAAACUUCUUUUGAUAGAUAAUGAUUUUUGGUAACACUCAUAGCAUUAUAUCAUCUAUAUAGGGUAAAUCAUGGUCCCAUUUGGUUCCAUUUUAACAAAAUGGGACCAAAUGGGACCAGAAUCAGUAAUUUAUAAGAAGAACAUGAUCUAGGCUGGCCAGUGGGACCAUGAAUUUCAUGUUUGAUUUGGUUUGAUUUGGUCCCAGUCCAUUUCUUGGUGUGAUUUUCAGUGGAACCAGAAUCAGAAUGAGAGUGUAAAGUGACUAGAAUUAUUAGAACAUGAGUGAAAUGAGACUAAUAAAUCUUGAUAUUUCAUGUAAAGUGACUGACUAUCAAAAAUAAGAACAUGACCUGGGACUGACUAUGAUUUUGACUGAGGUUUGGUCCUGUUCUGAUGAUUAUAUAAUACAUAUCUUAGAUAUCAAUCUGAUGAUAUGAUUGGUGGAGAUAUCGCCUCUAUCUAGUGCUGUCAACCAAUCUAUUGCUGCUAAGCUAUCCCUCGCUGCUAAGCUAUCGCCGCUGCCAACCUAUCUAUUGCUGCAAGCUAUCCCUCGCUGCUAAGCUAUCGCUGCCAACCUAUCUAUCGCUGCCAACCUAUCUAUUGCUGCCAAUUUAUCUACCACUGCCAAUCUAUCUAUUGCUGCUAAUCUAUCACUGCUGUCAAUCUAUCUAUCACUGCUAAUCUAUCUAUCGCUGCUAAUCUAUCGCCGCUGCCAAUCUAUCCCUCACUGCUAAGCUAUCCUUCGCUGCUAAGCUAUCCCUCACUGCUAAGCUAUCUCUCACUGCUAAGCUAUCCCUCGCUGCUAAGCUAUCCCUCGCUGCUAAGCUAUCCCUCACUACUAAGCUAUCUAUCACUGCUAAUCUAUCGCUGCCAAUCUAUCUAUCACUGCCAAUCUAUCUAUCGCUGCUAAUCUAUCGCUGCUAAUCUAUCACUGCUAAUCUAUCGCUGCCAACCUAUCUAUCGCUGCCAAUUUAUCUACCACUGCCAAUCUAUCUAUUGCUGCUAAUCUAUUGCUGCUGCCAAUCUAUCUAUCGCUGCUAAUCUAUUGCUGCUGCUAAUCUAUCUAUCGCUGCUAAUCUAUCGCUGCUAAUCUAUCGCUGCUAAUCUAUCGCUGCUAAUCUAUCGCUGCUAAUCUAUCGCUGCUAAUCUAUCGCUGCCAACCUAUCUACCGCGGCGAAUCUAUCUAUCACUAUCAUUACUAGUUCAAAAUAGAACUAGAGCAUAAACACACUAAACUUCUUUUGAUAGAUAAUGAUUUUUGGUAACACUCAUAGCAUUAUAUCAUCUAUAUAGGGUAAAUCAUGGUCCCAUUUGGUCCCAUUUUAACAAAAUGGGACCAAAUGAGACCAGAAUCAGUAAUUUAUAAGAAGAACAUGAUCUGAGACUAGAUUUAUAAUAUAAACAGUGUAAAGUGACUAAUUUAAUAAACACUAUAUGGAACC
rnacentral:sRNA from 1 species